rnacentral:rRNA from 1 species
UACGUAGGGUGCGAGCGUUGUCCGGAAUUAUUGGGCGUAAAGAGCUCGUAGGCGGUCUGUCGCGUCGGAUGUGAAAGCCCGGGGCUUAACCCCGGGUCUGCAUUCGAUACGGGCAGACUAGAGUGUGGUAGGGGAGAUCGGAAUUCCUGGUGUAGCGGUGAAAUGCGCAGAUAUCAGGAGGAACACCGGUGGCGAAGGCGGAUCUCUGGGCCUUGCCUGACGCUGAGGCGCGAAAGCUAGGGGAGCGAACAGG